UGAAAAGGAUAACUGCGGAAAUUCUGGAGCUAAUACAUGCGACUAUACUCCAACGCAAGGCGGGGUGCAAUUAUUAGAACAGACCAAACGUUUUCGGACGUUGUUUGUUGACUCUGAAUACCGUCGUUUACUGUCAGUUUCGACUGACUCUAUCCGAGAAGGGUGUCUGCCCUUUCAACUAGAUGGUAAUCUAUUGGACUACCAUGGUUGUUACGGGUAACGGAGAAUUAGGGUUCGACUCCGGAGAGGGAGCCUUAGAAACGGCUACCACGUCCAAGGAAGGCAGCAGGCGCGAAACUUAUCCACUGUUGAGUAUGAGAUAGUGACUAAAAAUAUAAAGACUCAUCCUUUUGGAUGAGUUAUUUCAAUGAGUUGAAUAUAAAUUAUUCUUCGAGUAGCAAGGAGAGGGCAAGUCUGGUGCCAGCAGCCGCGGUAAUUCCAGCUCUCCUAGUGUAUCUCGUUAUUGCUGCGGUUAAAAAGCUCGUAGUUGGAUCUAGGUUACGUGCCGCAGUUCGCAAUUUGCGUUAACUGUGGUCGUGACUUCUAAUUUGCUGGUUUGAGGUUGGGUUCGCCCUUCAACUGCCAGCAGGUUUACCUUGAAUAAAUCAGAGUGCUCAAUACAGGCGCUUGCUUGAAUAGCUCAUCAUGGAAUAAUGAAACAGGACUUCGGUUCUUUUUGUUGGAUUCUAGAAUUGAUCUAAUGGUUAAGAGGGACAAACCGGGGGCAUUCGUAUCAUUACGCGAGAGGUGAAAUUCGUGGACCGUAGUGAGACGCCCAAUAGCGAAAGCAUUUGCCAAGAAUGUCUUCAUUAAUCAAGAACGAAAGUCAGAGGUUCGAAGGCGAUUAGAUACCGCCCUAGUUCUGACCGUAAACGAUGCCAUCUCGCGAUUCGGAGGGUUCAUGCCCUACCGAGGAGCUACCCGGAAACGAAAGUCUUUCGGUUCCGGGGGUAGUAUGGUUGCAAAGCUGAAACUUAAAGAAAUUGACGGAAGGGCACCACAAGGCGUGGAGCUUGCGGCUUAAUUUGACUCAACACGGGAAAACUCACCCGGUCCGGACACUAUUAGGACUGACAGAUUGAAAGCUCUUUCUCGAUUUGGUGGUUGGUGGUGCAUGGCCGUUCUUAGUUGGUGGAGUGAUUUGU
rnacentral:ncRNA from 1 species